rnacentral:rRNA from 1 species
UACGAAGGGGGCUAGCGUUGCUCGGAAUCACUGGGCGUAAAGGGUGCGUAGGCGGGUCUUUAAGUCAGGGGUGAAAUCCUGGAGCUCAACUCCAGAACUGCCUUUGAUACUGAGGAUCUUGAGUGCGGGAGAGGAGAGUGGAAUUCCUGGUGUAGCGGUGAAAUGCGCAGAUAUCAGGAAGAACACCCGUGGCGAAGGCGGCUCUCUGGAACGCAACUGACGCUGAGACGCGAAAGCGUGGGGAGCAAACAGG